rnacentral:rRNA from 1 species
AUGGACCGCUGUCAAUAUGAUUCUCAUGGAUACCGAAGCCUCUCAGGGAACUGGUGCCCUAUUGAUGCCUCCCUCUCAUUCCUGCCCAAAUACAAGAAGAUUGACUUGUUGGACUGCUGCAACGGCCUCCUGCUCUGUCGAUGUUCCAAGCCUUAUCCUGAGACACCGGAUUACGUGGUGUGCAAUCCUGCCACUGAGAAAUGGGUAAUUGUCCCAGCCAACAAAUGGUCCUCGGACUCGUAUGCUCGCUUGGGAUUCGACCCGGCCAUCUCCUCCCAUUUCCAUGUGUUUGAGUUGGCACCUGCCGCAGCUUUGAAUGCGAAUGUGAAGUUUGAUUAUAACAUCAAAGAGGUGGGGAUCUACUCGUCCAAAGCUGGAGCUUGGACACAUCAAAUUGAUUGGAAUGAUCCAUUUGAGAUAUGCAACUUCUCAGCUGGCACAUUUCUCAGCGGGGUGUUGUAUUUAUGUUCUGAUAAUGAUUUGGUUGCAGCUGUUGACGUGGAGGGAAACUGUCGUUUCAUUCCUGCUCCUACUUUAGAUGAUGCUUGUGGUCGUCAUGAUGUUUAUGUUUCACAAGGACAAUUGUAUGUCGCAUAUUAUGGUGCUGCUGAAGCAUCAAUCUGGGUCCUUGAAGAUUCUAGCAUUGAAGAUUAUUGGACCUUGAAGCACAAUAUUAGCUACCUGCAACUGUUCGGUUCAAGAUCUAGGGGACGUUACGGUGUUAUCUCAGUCCACCCAGAGGACGAUGUGAUAUUCAUAACCGUAGAAUCUAAAUCUACAUUAUCGGGGGACAGGCUACUGUUGAAAUUAUUUUCAUAUGAAAUUGAUUCUAAGGAGCUGAAAUUUAUAUGUGAUCUUGGAAGGAUUUCUAGGCGCCCUUAUCUUUCAUAUGUUCCUUUGUUCUCGGAGUCAUUGGCAGAUGAGCAUUAA